CCUACGGGAGGCAGCAGUGAGGAAUAUUGGUCAAUGGACGAGAGUCUGAACCAGCCAAGUAGCGUGAAGGAUGACUGCCCUAUGGGUUGUAAACUUCUUUUAUAUGGGACUAAAAUGUUCCACGUGUGGGAUUUUGUAUGUACCAUAUGAAUACGGAUCGGCUAACUCCGUGCCAGCAGCCGCGGUAAUACGGAGGAUCCGAGCGUUAUCCGGAUUUAUUGGGUUUAAAGGGAGCGUAGGUGGAUUGUUAAGUCAGUUGUGAAAGUUUGCGGCUCAACCGUAAAAUUGCAGUUGAAACUGGGAGUCUUGAAUACAGUAGAGGUGGGCGGAAUUCGUGGUGUAGCGGUGAAAUGCUUAGAUAUCACGAAGAACUCCGAUUGCGAAGGCAGCUCACUGGACUGCAACUGACACUGAGGCUCGAAAGUGUGGGUAUCAAACAGGAUUAGAUACCCGAGUAGUC
rnacentral:rRNA from 1 species